UGAUGUGUAGGAAACCAUUAUAACACCGCUCGGGCAGUGCUCUCUGGCUGCUGCUGCCACCGCCGCCCUUGCCUAUGGUGCACAUUAAAGAUCCAAAACCAUGACUGACUCCAAGUACUUCACAACCAAUAGAGAGGGAGAAAUCUUUGAAUUAAAGGCUGAACUCAACAAUGAAAAGAAAGAAAAGAGGAAGGAGGCUGUGAAGAAAGUGAUUGCUGCUAUGACUGUGGGGAAAGAUGUUAGCUCUCUCUUUCCAGAUGUCGUGAACUAUAUGCAGAUAGACAACCUGGAACUGAAGAAGCUUGUGUAUCUCUACUUUAUGAACUACGCCAAGAGUCAGCCAGAUAUGGCCAUCAUGAAUGUCAACAGCUUUGUGAAGGACUGUGAAGAUCCAAAUCCUCUGAUUCAAGCCUUGGUAGUCAGAACCAUGUGGUGCAUCCAGGUGGACAAGACUACAGAAUAUCUCUGUAAGCCCCUCCGCAAGUGCUUAAAGGAUGAUGAUCCCUACGUCCAGAAGACAGCAGCAGUCUGUGUGGCAAAACUCCAUAAUAUCAAUGCCCAGAUGAUGGAAGAUCAGGAAUUUCUGGAUUCUCUGCGGGAUCACAUAGCUGAUUCAAAUCCAAUGGUGGUAGCUAAUGCUAUAGCAGCAUUAUCUGAAAUCAGUGAAUCUCACCUCAACAUCAACUUACUCGAUCUAUGUCCACAGAACAUUAAUAAGCUACUGACAGCCCUGAAUGAGUGCACUGAAUGGGUCCAGAUUUUCAUCUUGGACUGCCUGUCUAAUUACAACCCUAAAGAUGACUGGGAGGCUCAGAACAUCUGUGAGCGGGUAACUCCCUGGUUAUCUCAUGCCAACUCAGCAGUGGUGCUUUCAGCAGUAAAAGUCCUAAUGAAAUUUCUAGAGUUGCUACCCGAGGACUCUGACUACUACAAUACGCUGCUGAAGAAGUUGGCCCCUCCACUUGUCACUUGGCUGUCUGGGGAGCCAGAGGUGCAAUACGCCUGAGGAACAUCAACGUAAUUGUCCAGAAAAGGCCUGAAAUCUUGAAGCAGGAAAUAAAAGUUUUCUUUGUGAAGUACAAUGAUCCCAUCUACGUGAAACUAGAGAAAUUGGACAUCGUGAUUCCAAGCCAACAUUACUCAGGUUCUGGCUGAACUGAUAGAAUAUGCCACAGAGGUGGAUGUUGAUUUUGUGUGCAAAGCUGUGCAAGCCAUUGGAUGAUGUGCCAUCAAGGUGGAGCAAUCUGCAGAGCGCUGUGUGAGCACGUUGCUUGAUCUCAUCCAAACCAAAGUAAAUCAUGUGGUCCAAGAGGCGAUUGUUGGCAUCAGGGACAUCUUCCACAAAUACCCCCAACAAAUAUGAAAGUAUCAUUGCCACACUGUGUGAGAUCUUAGAUUCACUGGAUGAGCCAGACGCUUGAGAAGCUAUGAUUUGGAUUGUGGGAGAAUGUGCUGAAAGAAUUGACAAUGCAGAUGAGUUACUAGAGAGCUUCCUGGAGGGUUUUCAUGAGGAAAGCACCCAAGUGCAGCUCCCUCUGCUCACUGCCAUAGUGAAGCUGUUUCUCAAGAAACCAUCAGAAACACAGGAGCUGGUAAGCAGGUCUUGAAUUUGGCAACACAGGAUUCUGAUAAUCCUGACCUUCGAGACCAGGGCUAUAUUUAUUGGUGCCUUCUCUCAACUGAUCCUGUCACCGCUAAAGAAGUAGUCUUGUCUGAAAAGCCACUGAUUUCUGAGGAGACAGAGCUUAUUGAGCCAGCUCUAUUGGAGGAGCUAAUCUGCCACACUGUCUUUGGCCGCAGUGUACCAUAAGCCGCCCAAUGCUUUUGUGGAAGGAAGUCAUGGAAUCCAUCGCAAACACACCAAUACAUCACGGGAGCACUGAUGCGGGUGACAGCCCUGUUGGCGUCACUGCCACUAACCCAGGACAGCCUCAGGUUAUCCCCUCCCAGGGUGACCCUCUGGGGGAUCUUUUAAACCUUGACCUUGGUCCCCCAGUCAAUGUGCCACAGGUAUCAUCCAUGCAGAUGGGAGCAGUGGAUCUCUUGGGAGGAGGACUAGAUAGUCUGGUGGGACAGCCCUUCAUCCCAUCAUCAGUGCCUGCAACCUUUGCUCCUUCCCCUACUGCUGCUGUGGUCAGCAGUGGUCUGAAUGACCCAUUUGAACUUUCCACAGGGAUAGGCAUGGCGCCUGGUGGAUAUGUGCCUCCUAAGGCUGCGUGGCUGCCUGCGGUAAAGGCUAAAGGCCUGGAGAUUUCAGGAACAUUUACUCACCCCCAAGGGCACAUCUGUAUGGAACUUCAUCAACAAAGCUCUGCAGCACAUGACAGAGUCUGCAAUUCAGUUUAACGAGAAUAGCUUUGGUGUCAUCCCCAGUACUCCUCUGGCCAUCCAUACACCACUGACACCAAACCAGAGCAUUGAUGUCUCCCUGCCUCUCAACACCUUGGGCCCAGUCAUGAAGAGGGAGCCUUUGAACAACCAGCAGGUGGCUGUGAAAAACAAUAUUGAUGUCAUCUACUUCAGCUGCCUCAUCCCACUCAAUGUGCUUUUUGCACAAGAUGGCAAAAUGGAGCGCCAGGUCUUCCUUGCAACAUGGAAGGAUAUUCCAUUGAAAAUGAACUUCAGUUUCAGAUUAAGAAAUGCCAUUUAAAUGUUGACACUGUUCCCAGCAAGUUGCGAAACAACGUUUAUACUAUUGCCAAGAGGAAUGUAGAAGGGCAGGACAUGUUGUACCAACCCCUGAAGCUCACUAAUGGCAUUUGGAUUUUGGCCGAGCUACGUACCCAGCCAGGAAACCCCAAUUACACACUUGCUGAAGUGGAGACCUCCCGAGGUCUCCCAGUACAUCUAUCAGGUCUACAACAGCAUUUUGAAAAACUAA